CAGUAGCCACGGUAACACGGAGGGUGCGAGCGUUAAUCGGAAUAACUGGGCGUAAAGGGCACGCAGGCGGUGACUUAAGUGAGGUGUGAAAGCCCCGGGCUUAACCUGGGAAUUGCAUUUCAUACUGGGUCGCUAGAGUACUUUAGGGAGGGGUAGAAUUCCACGUGUAGCGGUGAAAUGCGUAGAGAUGUGGAGGAAUACCGAAGGCGAAGGCAGCCCCUUGGGAAUGUACUGACGCUCAUGUGCGAAAGCGUGGGGAGCAAACAGGAUUAGAGACCCCGGUAGUCCCUGUCUCUUAUAC
rnacentral:rRNA from 1 species